UGAAAAGAAGGAAGAGUCCGUGCCUGGAGGAGCUGCCUACAAGAAACAGCAAGGAGGUAAACGUGGAACUCUUCUGAACAGUAUUGCUGUAAAUGUGAUUUGUGAGAAGAGCAAACAGAGUUUUGAGCAACCUGUUUGACAGACUGGGGUCUGAGAGUUGCGCAGACAAAGCAGGGGAAAGGAGGUGAGAAAACAGCAGAGCCAGGCACUGAAAUUUUGCAGCUCCCUGGAAAGGAGGUUAUAACCAGGUUGGAAACAUUUCCUAAGCCGUGAAGAACUCUGACCCACAUUUCCAUGGCAUCAAAAGCUCCUUUCUCAGACAGCAUGGCAAGGUGCUGCCCUCCCAAAGAUGAGCAACACAAUGAAGACUUGUCUCAGGACACUUUCUGCUUGGAGCCAGGGAGAGCUGGGUUAGCAGGGUCAAAUGCCAAGGAUAUUUGUAGAGGGAAGAAAAUAUUGGCUAACAUCAGCUCUGUGCUCCCUGACCAGGAAAAGGAAGGGCAGGAUGGAAGAAAUAGGUUUUCAGAUUUAGGCAGUUCUGAGUAAAAGCUAAGAGAUGAAUCAAAGGUGGGCCACGUUUUCAUUGAAAGAGGAAAGACUCCAUAAACAACUGCAGUAGCACCAAAUAUUGUGUUGAACUGUUAAGAUAAAAAAGCCCCAAACAGGACUCUAAAACAAUUUUGGUGUUGUUGAGUAAAGUCACAAUGAUCCACAAAUUGCAGAAUUGAUACACUCUUCUGACUCUGAAGAGGCUGAAGGUGGAAGAUUUUUGCCUCCUAAGCUUCUGCUGUAUGGUAAAAAGAAUAGUGGAUAGGUUUACCUUCCACAGUGGUAAAUGGAUUUGAAGCAGAAACAUUCUCUCUGAAAGGACAGUAACAAAUUAAGAAGCCCAGACAUCUUUCUGUUAAAAAAGAAAGGUAAAUUUUCAGGUACCCUAAAGUCUCUAAAUUGUCUUUGUGGUUUAAAUUUCUUCCGCACAGAGAUUCCAUUAAUAACAGUUAUAUUGCCACAGAUUAAAAGUCUGUGUGAACAAUUGGAAUCUCUCAAGGCAUCAGUUACUCUUCAAUAACAAAUGUUUUCAUUGACUUGGAGACAGUUAUAGCAGGAGGUUUUCAUUUCCAAUGUACCUUGAGUAAUUAUUCAUGUUCUGCUGAUAGUUAUUUAUUAUGGAAUUAAAAUAUAUUUGGGGGAUAAAAGCCCAUUAGGAUAAAGAAUUGUGUGAAACCCAAAAAGUUGCAAUGAAGGUUGAAUAUGGAAAUUCCUACUCCUGUCUACUGUAUAUUUAUGGCCAGGUAGCAAGUUUCAGAGAAAAAGAAUGUUGUGUUAAUUUAACAGUAACCACCUGCUUCUGUAAAAUUAGAAAAGAAUUUGAGUUAUUCAUCCAGGAAGCCGAACCCGAACAAAGAACAUUCAUGGACUGGUAAGCUGUGACAUUAGGUAUCAUGCCCUUCUUAAGGAGCAGUUUUUUUUCCAGCCUUGAUUCAAUGUUAGUGGGGAAGAACUGAUUAAAAAGAAAAGGUUCUGCUAGUUAGACAUGGCAAUAAAUUUUUCAGGACCUCCAUCAACUCAUACAUAUGCCUAAUAAAUUAACUUGUCUUUAUGGAA